GGCCUUCGUUCCAAAAUGCAACGUGGAGAAAAUUGGAACUCAGCCUUGAGAGUGUUCAUGAACUUCUGUCAAUUAACAUGAAGAGAAUUGAAUUUCCUGGACAUUGCCAACAAUGAUAGUGGGGCUCCGAAAGGCUACGCUUCAAAAAGGUGUCCACACAGUUGCCAAGCUACUCAAGGAAUUAGAGGUUUCACUUGUGAGAAAGUCAUGAACAAGGUGGCGCCAACCAUUUACAACUGAGAAAAACUGCUACUUUUAUACAGAGCCCUGAUGCUGAAGCAUCUUUGGAAUUCAAAUCUGGUGGACAUGUUGCUUUAAAUCAAUUUCUUUAAAUAGAUUUAUUGUAGCUUAUCCUGAAAUAAUUCAUGGUUGACAAUUGGCUUUAACAUGCAUGUGUCUUUUUUUUGUAAGUACAUUUUGAUUGGUUAAUGUAAGAGUUUCCAGAAUAUCUUGUUUUA